rnacentral:rRNA from 1 species
AUUGAACGCUGGCGGCAUGCUUUACACAUGCAAGUCGAACGGUAACAGGCCUUCGGGUGCUGACGAGUGGCGCACGGGUGAGUAAUGCAUCGGAACGUGCCCAGAGGUGGGGGAUAACGCAGCGAAAGCUGUGCUAAUACCGCAUGUGAUCUGAGGAUGAAAGCGGGGGACCAGGCAGCAAUGUUUGGCCUCGCGCCUUUGGAGCGGCCGAUGUCAGAUUAGGUAGUUGGUGGGGUAAAGGCCUACCAAGCCGACGAUCUGUAGCUGGUCUGAGAGGACGACCAGCCACACUGGGACUGAGACACGGCCCAGACUCCUACGGGAGGCAGCAGUGGGGAAUUUUGGACAAUGGGCGCAAGCCUGAUCCAGCAAUGCCGCGUGCGGGAAGAAGGCCCUCGGGUUGUAAACCGCUUUUGUACGGAACGAAAAGGCUCUGGCUAAUACCUGGGGCUGAUGACGGUACCGUAAGAAUAAGCACCGGCUAACUACGUG